rnacentral:rRNA from 1 species
AGUUCCAAUAGCGUAUAUUAAAGUUGUUGCUUAAAAAGCUCGUAGUUAGAUUUCUGGCUAUGCAUGUGGAUCCGCUCUUAUAAGUGUGCACCAUACAUGUCUGGCCAUCCUUUGGGAGAGCCACAGUGGUAUUAAAUUGUUGGUGUGGGGAUCCUAAUCCUUUACUGUGAAUAAUUAGAGUGUCCAAAGCAGGCUUAUGCCGUUCAAUGUAUUAGCAUGGAAUAACAAAAUAGGACUAUUGUACUAUUUUGUUGGUUUGCGUACAAUAGUAAUGAUUAACAGGGACAGUUGGAGGUAUUUGUAUUCCAUUGUCUGAGGUGAAACUCUUGGAUUUUUGGAAGACAAACUACUGCAAAAUCAUUUACCAAAGAUAUUUUCA